GACGAACCGUGCGACCGUUGUUCGGAAUCACUGGGCUUAAAGGGCGCGUAGGCGGCUUGCCAAGUCAGUGGUGAAAUCCCACAGCUUAACUGUGGAAGUGCCUUUGAUACUGGCGAGCUCGAGGGAGGUAGGGGUAUGUGGAACUUCUGGUGGAGCGGCGAAAUGCGUUGAUAUCAGAAGGAACGCCGGUGGCGAAAGCGACGUACUGGACCUCUUCUGACGCUGAGGCGCGAAAGCUAGGGGAGCAAACGGG
rnacentral:rRNA from 1 species